rnacentral:rRNA from 1 species
UACGUAGGGUGCGAGCGUUGUCCGGAAUUAUUGGGCGUAAAGAGCUCGUAGGCGGUGUGUCACGUCGGCCGUGAAAACCUGCAGCUUAACUGUGGGCGUGCGGUCGAUACGGGCAUCACUGGAGUUCGGCAGGGGAGACUGGAAUUCCUGGUGUAGCGGUGAAAUGCGCAGAUAUCAGGAGGAACACCGGUGGCGAAGGCGGGUCUCUGGGCCGAUACUGACGCUGAGGCACGAAAGCUAGGGGAGCAAACAGG